AUUGAACGCUGGCGGCAGGCCUAACACAUGCAAGUCGAACGGUAACAGGAAACAGCUUGCUGUUUCGCUGACGAGUGGCGGACGGGUGAGUAAUGUCUGGGAAACUGCCUGAUGGAGGGGGAUAACUACUGGAAACGGUAGCUAAUACCGCAUAACGUCGCAAGACCAAAGAGGGGGACCUUCGUGCCUCUUGCCAUCGGAUGUGCCCAGAUGGGAUUAGCUAGUAGGUGGGGUAACGGCUCACCUAGGCGACGAUCCCUAGCUGGUCUGAGAGGAUGACAAGCCACACUGGAACUGAGACACGGACCAGACUCCUACGGGAGGCAGCAGUGGGGAAUAUUGCACAAUGGGCGCAAGCCUGAUGCAGCCAUGCCGCGUGUAUGAAGAAGGCCUUCGGGUUGUAAAGUACUUUCAGCGGGGAUGAAGGGAGUAAAGUUAAUACCUUUGCUCAUUGACGUUACCCGCAGAAGAAGCACCGGCUAACUCCGUG
rnacentral:rRNA from 1 species